rnacentral:rRNA from 1 species
ACACCGGCAGCCCAAGUGGUGGCCAUUUUUAUUGGGCCUAAAGCGUUCGUAGCCGGCCUGAUAAGUCUCUGGUGAAAUCCCGCAGCCUAACUGUGGGAAUUGCUGGAGAUACUAUCAUGACUCGAGGUCGGGAGAGGCUGGAGGUACUCCCAGGGUAGGGGUGAAAUCCUGUAAUCCUGGGAGGACCACCUGUGGCGAAGGCGUCCAGCUGGAGCGAACCUGACGGUGAGGGACGAAAGCCAGGGGCGCGAACCGGAUUAGAUACCCGGGUAGUCCUGGCCGUAAACGAUGUGGACUUGGUGUUGGGAUGGCUUCGAGCUGCCCCAGUGCCGAAGGGAAGCUGUUAAGUCCACCGCCUGGGAAGUACGGCCGCAAGGCUGAAACUUAAAGGAAUUGGCGGGG